CGGUGGGAAGGUUCGGAAAUGGCGGUGCAGCCGAAGGAGACGCUGCAACUGGAGAGCGCAGCCGAAGUCGGCUUUGUGCGCUUCUUUCAGGGCAUGCCGGAGAAGCCGACCACCACGGUGCGCCUUUUCGACCGCGGCGACUUCUAUACUGUGCACGGCGAGGACGCGGUGCUAGCCGCCCGGGAGGUAUUCAAGACCCAAGGGGUGAUCAAGUAUAUGGGGCCUGCAGGUGCAAAAGAUCUCCAGAGUGUUGUGCUUAGUAAAAUGAAUUUUGAGUCUUUUGUAAAAGAUCUUCUUUUGGUUCGUCAGUAUAGAGUUGAAGUUUAUAAGAAUAGAGCUGGAAAUAAGGCAUCUAAGGAAAAUGAUUGGUAUUUGGCAUUUAAGGCUUCUCCUGGCAAUCUUUCUCAGUUUGAAGACAUUCUCUUUGGUAACAAUGAUUUGUCAGCUUCUAUUGGUGUGGUAGGUGUCAAAAUGUCCACAGUUGAUGGCCAAAGACAGGUUGGAGUAGGAUAUGUUGAUUCCAUACAGAGGAAGCUAGGACUGUGUGAGUUCCCUGAUAACGAUCAGUUCUCCAAUCUUGAGGCACUUCUGAUUCAGAUUGGACCAAAGGAAUGCAUCUUACCAGGAGGAGAGACUGCUGGAGACAUGGGGAAACUGAGGCAGGUUAUUCAGAGAGGAGGAAUUUUGAUUACAGAAAGGAAAAGAACUGACUUUUCCACAAAAGACAUUUAUCAGGACCUCAACCGGUUGUUGAAAGGCAAAAAGGGAGAACAGCUGAAUAGUGCUGUUUUGCCAGAAAUGGAGAAUCAGGUUGCAGUUUGUUCAUUGUCAGCAGUAAUCAAGUUUUUAGAACUCUUAUCAGAUGAUUCAAACUUUGGCCAGUUUGAACUUACUACUUUUGACUUCAGCCAAUACAUGAAACUGGAUAUUGCAGCAGUCAGAGCCCUUAACCUAUUCCAGGGUUCUGUUGAAGAUACCACUGGCUCUCAAUCUCUGGCUGCGUUGCUGAAUAAAUGUAAAACAUCUCAAGGACAGAGACUAGUUAAUCAGUGGAUUAAGCAGCCUCUCAUGGACAAGAACAGAAUAGAAGAGAGAUUAAAUUUAGUGGAAGCCUUUGUAGAAGAUGCAGAACUGAGGCAGAGUUUACAAGAAGACUUACUUCGUAGAUUCCCAGAUCUUAACAAACUUGCGAAGAAAUUUCAAAGACAAGCAGCAAACUUACAAGAUUGUUACCGACUCUAUCAGGGUAUAAAUCAACUUCCUAAUGUAAUACAGGCUCUGGAAAAAUAUGAAGGAAAACACCAAUCAUUGUUGUUGGCAGUUUUUGUGACUCCUCUUAUUGAUCUUCGUUCUGAUUUCUCCAAGUUUCAGGAAAUGAUAGAAACAACUUUAGAUAUGGAUCAGGUGGAAAACCAUGAGUUCCUUGUAAAACCUUCAUUUGAUCCUAAUCUGAGUGAAUUAAGAGAAAUAAUGGAUGACUUGGAAAAGAAGAUGCAGUCAACAUUAAUAAGUGCAGCCAGAGAACUUGGCUUGGACCCUGGCAAACAAAUCAAACUGGAUUCCAGUGCACAGUUUGGAUAUUACUUUCGUGUGACCUGUAAAGAAGAAAAAGUCCUUCGUAACAAUAAAAACUUCAGUACAGUAGACAUCCAGAAGAAUGGUGUUAAAUUUACCAACAGUAAAUUAUCUUCUUUCAAUGAAGAAUAUACCAAAAAUAAAACUGAAUAUGAGGAAGCCCAGGAUGCCAUUGUUAAAGAAAUUGUCAAUAUUUCUUCAGGCUAUGUCGAACCAAUGCAGACACUUAAUGAUGUGUUAGCUCAGCUAGAUGCUGUUGUCAGCUUUGCUCAUGUGUCAAAUGGAGCACCUGUUCCAUACGUACGACCAGUCAUUUUGGAGAAAGGACAAGGAAGAAUUAUAUUAAAAGCAUCCAGACAUGCUUGUGUUGAAGUUCAAGAUGAAGUUGCAUUUAUUCCUAAUGAUGUACACUUUGAAAAAGAUAAACAGAUGUUCCACAUCAUUACCGGCCCCAAUAUGGGAGGUAAAUCAACAUAUAUUCGUCAGACUGGUGUGAUUGUACUCAUGGCCCAAAUUGGGUGUUUUGUGCCCUGUGAGUCAGCGGAAGUAUCCAUUGUGGACUGCAUCUUGGCUCGGGUAGGGGCUGGUGACAGUCAGUUAAAAGGAGUAUCCACGUUCAUGGCUGAAAUGUUGGAAACUGCUUCUAUCCUCAGGUCUGCAACCAAAGAUUCUUUAAUAAUCAUAGAUGAAUUGGGAAGAGGAACUUCUACCUAUGAUGGAUUUGGGUUAGCAUGGGCUAUAUCAGAUUACAUUGCAACAAAGAUUGGUGCUUUUUGCAUGUUUGCAACUCAUUUUCAUGAACUUACUGCCUUGGCCAAUCAGAUACCAACUGUGAAUAAUCUACAUGUUACUGCACUAACCACAGAAGAGACCUUAACUAUGCUCUAUCAAGUGAAAAAAGGUGUCUGUGAUCAGAGUUUUGGAAUUCAUGUUGCAGAGCUUGCUAAUUUUCCUAGGCAUGUAAUAGAGUGUGCUAAACAAAAAGCCAUGGAACUUGAGGAAUUUCAGAAUAUUGGAGAAUCACAAGGCUAUGAUGAAACAGAACCAGCAGCAAAGAAGUGCUAUCUGGAAAGAGAGCUUUGUGAAGUUAGUGAUACAAUUAUGCCUAGUUUAUUGAAGAGGAGUAUAGGUUAAGGAAUUUGCCCAGGGGUCAUAUAGCAAGUAAUCAUGUUCUUUGGAUCUGUAAAAACCGGGCAGUGAAGAAAGCAUCCUGUAUUUGUCAAGGUGAAAAAAUUAUUCAGGAAUUUCUGUACAAGGUGAAGCAAGUGCCCUUUACCGAAAUGUCAGAAGAAGACAUCACAAUAAAGUUAAAACAGCUGAAAGCAGAGGUGAUAGCGAAGAAUAAUAG